rnacentral:rRNA from 1 species
UACGUAGGGUGCGAGCGUUAAUCGGAAUUACUGGGCGUAAAGGGUGCGUAGGCGUCCUGGAAAGUUACGGUUGAAAUCUCCUUGCUCAACAAGGAAACUGGCCGUAAAACUAUCAGGAUUGAGUACAUUUGAAGCGGGCGGAAUGUGUCAUGUAGCGGUGAAAUGCUUAGAUAUGACACAGAACACCAAUUGCGAAGGCAGCUCGCUAAACUGUAACUGACGCUGAGGCACGAAAGCGUGGGGAUCAAACAGG